ensembl:lincRNA
CACUGAAGAAGCGACAUGUCCUUAUUUGUAACUGAGCACAGGUGUCAAUGUGAGAGUGCUGGGUAAAGUUGGAUAAAGGGGAUAUGUAUCUCUAUAAGCACACACUCAAACACCGAAACCUAUAUGAGCUGCAUGGAAUUGAGUUUAACUUUCUCCCCUUGAUUUGUGACACACAAACUAAAAGCUACAGUUAACUUAUGGCAUUUUGUUAACCAUCUAUACAAGCUCCUCACACAUUAGUUGGGGUAGAAGAAGUCCACUGUGUUCUUUCUCUGCAUCUAUAACAGCAAGUUAGAAAAUAAUCAUAUUUGGAAAAAUCAUCUUCAGCUUUCUAGGGAAAGAGGAGUUGAAGAAGCUUGAGGUUUAAGAAAAAAAUGAAUAGGGCCAGGGGUAUAGUUCAGUAAGAGAGGGUUUGCCUCACAUGCACAAGGCCCUGAGUUCAAUCCUCAGCAUAGGAGAAAGAAAGAAAGAAAGAAAGAAAGAAAGAAAGAAAGAAAGAAAGAAAGAAAGAAAGAAAGAGAGAAAAAAGAGAAAGAGAGAAAAAAAGAGAAGCCCUAGUGUUUGAAGUUUUUCUCAGUGGUUCUAAAAAAAUAAUGUAUAGUGUCCUGAGUGAAAUGGGGUAAAUGGCAUUUCAUUGCAAAGUGUUGCUAUGGCUUGUAUGACUUGAACCAUAUAAAUAAGACUUUCCAAAACUUUGGUUUUUUUCAGAAAGGAAAAUAAGCAGAAAAAAUUUUACAUAGUCAUGUGACAUAGGGCAAGAAAUGGACAUACAAAAAACUGCUAGCUCAGUGUAAAGGAUCCCUGAAGAAAGGGGAGAAACCCAGGAGAUGCAUAUCAAAUAAAAAUGGAGAAUAUGGCUAUAUUUCAGCUCAAAGCAAUAUUUUCUUUUUCAGGAAUCAUUCCCUGUGGCUCACUGCUGACAGUCCAUGGACAGCAUAUGAGUGGGAUGAGUUCAUGAGUAAGAUGAACAGGGAUGCGCUACAGCAGUUCAUGCCCUACAGAGGAGUUUGCGAGAUCCAUCAAAACGCCACCUUGAGACAUGUUUACAACCAAACUGGAGGUAUGCCUGGAACUAAAAUAAGACGACUUUACUACGAACAUUUUCAUGAACACCCAACUAAGGUUCAUGAAUAUAAAGAGCCUGUCUUCGGGAAGGGAGCAGAUGAAGCUGGGUGUUUGGCAACUCAAUACAUAUCAGAAUUCUGCUGCAUCUCUUUAACAAGAAGGUUCUGCAGUCAGGAGCCAGUCCUAACAAAGUUUGACAUCACCGACCCAAGGAA